AGACAUUAUUAGGUUACACCAACUGAAGUAAAUUUUAAUUAAAACUGGAUGUGCUUUUAUAGGUACCUGUUUGGACAGAAGGUGGAGGGAAAUGCAUUUGUGACGUUUGGUGUGAUCAAAAGUGAAAAUAAGAAAACAAGCAUUCCUUCCUCUCUGCAAAAAGUUCAGAUCAUUCAAGGAGAGGGUACUGCAGAACUGACCAACCAGAUGAUCAUUAAGACCUUUCCAAACAUUAACCAGCUGGUUGGACAAUCAAUCUAUGUUUCUGUCAGUCUUUUAACAGAAAGUGGCAGUGAAAUGGUGGAAGCACACAAGAAAGGCAUUCAGAUUGUGACGUCACCGUACACCAUCCACUUCAGAAGAACACCACAUUACUUCAAACCUGGGAUGCCCUUCGACAUCUCGGUCUAUGUAACAAAUCCUGACCAAACACCUGCUAAAAAUGUGGAAGUGGAGGUCAAUCCUGGAGGGAUCAGAGGUCAAACAAGAGACAACGGCAUUGCAAAGGUUACCGUCAACACUCCGGGAGGCUCUUCCACACUGGAGAUCACUGCAAAGACCAGAGAUCCACAAUUAAGCAAUGAUCAGCAGGCAGUGAAGAAGAUGACAGCUCAGGCCUACAAGCCCAAAGGCGGCUCCAACAACUACCUGCACAUCGGCAUUGGGGCUGCAGAGCUUCAGAUCGGUGAUCAAAUGAAAGUCAGCCUGAACUUAGGAAGAAGUCCAGGAGUGAGAGAUCAAGAUUUCACCUACAUGAUCUUGAGUAAAGGUCAGAUCGUUCAAGCAGACAGGUUUAAGCGAAGAGGACAAUCUUUAGUGUCUCUGUCUCUAACUGUAACCAAAGACAUGGUCCCGUCAUUCCGCUUUGUGGCUUAUUACCACGUGGGCUCAUCUGAGGUGGUGUCUGAUUCAGUCUGGGUCGAUGUGAAGGACACCUGCAUGGGAAAGGUGGCUCAGCUUAAAGUGAAGGACAAGAUGUUCACAGGAGAUGAGGUCAGUCAGAUAACUGUCCUGGAGCUAGAGUUGGUCUGAAGGCUGACCAUGUCCUUAACUGACUCAGAGAUCCUGUUUGCAGUAAACUAAUUUAUUCAAAUGAAUUGUCUUCUAGUAUCUAAUUGUCCCACCCCUGCAAAGAGAAAACGAAGAGCUGAGAGUCUCCAACAGAUCACUGUUACACUGGCUGGUAAAUACUCUGGUGAUCUGAAGCAGUGCUGUGUUGAUGGAAUGAAGGAUAAUAUACUUGGCUACACAUGUGAACGAAGAGCCACGUACAUUGUCGAUGGGCCAGAGUGUGCCAAGGCCUUCCUACACUGCUGCAACGAGAUGAAAACCCGCAAAGGCAUGAAGGCCGAAGAGAGCGAGAUGAUUCUGGCUCGUAGUGAUGAUGACGACGACUUUUACACAGACUCUGAGGACAUAGUGUCACGUACGCAGUUCCCUGAGAGCUGGCUCUGGGAGGAGGUUGAUCUAUGCGAUAAGUGUCAAACACCAACCACAGAAAAAGUGCUCUACCUGAAAGACUCUAUUACUACCUGGCAGAUACUGGCUGUCAGUCUGUCACCAACACUUGGCAUCUGUGUGGCAGAACCUGAGGAGUUGGUCGUUUUUAAACAGCUUUUUAUUGACCUCAAGAUCCCUUACUCUGCUGUGCGUGGUGAACAACUAGAAAUCAAGGCCAUUAUUCACAAUUACACCCCAAAGAAGCAGAAGGUGCGUGUGGAGUUCAUGGAGACAGAAGAUGUUUGCAGCUCUGCCAGUAAGAAAGGCAAAUACAGGACAAUAGUAAAUGUUGACAAAGGAUCCAGCACAAGUGCAUCAUACGUGAUUAUUCCCAUGACUUCGGGAAAACAUAUGAUUGAAGUGAAAGCCUCUGCAUAUGAUGCUGUUUACACUGAUGGAGUGAGAAAGCCACUGAAAGUGGUGCCUGAGGGUGUGCUGACUCAAUUAGAAAGAGGAAAAGUGGAGCUCAAUCCUGUUAAGAAUGGGGAGAAACCUGCAAUUCUUAGAUCCGAAAUACCACCUGACUGGGUUCCAGACACACCUGCUAACACCUACAUCUCAAUUACUGGUGAAGAGAUCACUCAGACCGUUGAACAGGCCAUCAGUGGAGACUUCAUGGGUCGUCUUAUUGUCCAACCCAGUGGCUGUGGAGAACAGAACAUGAUCUAUAUGACUCUACCUCUCAUUGCCACUCAUUAUCUGGACAGCACAAACCAGUGGGAGGCUGUUGGCAUGGAGCGCCGUAAUGAAGCCAUUACCCAUAUCAACACUGGUUAUCAGCGGCAGCUGGGUUACCGUAAAACAGAUGGAUCCUAUGCUGCGUGGAAAGAAAGGCCAAGCAGCACAUGGCUGACGGCAUAUGUGUCCAAAGUCUUCGCCAUGGCUAAUAACCUUGUUGUUAUAGAUGAAAAUGUACUCUGCAGCGCUCUCAAGUGGCUGGUUCUUCACAAACAACUGCCGGACGGCUCCUUCAAAGAAGAUGCAUUUGUAAUUCAUGGAGAGAUGGUGGGUGAUGUACGAGGCAAAGAUGCUGAAGUCUCUCUGACGGCUUUUGUUGUGAUUGCCAUGCAAGAGGGCAGUGAGAUCUGUGCUGCAUCAGUUAGUAGUCUGCAUGAAAGUAUCAGGAAGGCUGUUGCCUUCUUGGAAGGUCGCUUUCCAAAACUGACCAAUCCUUACGCUGUUGCGAUGACGUCCUAUGCCAUGGCCAAUGUCGGCAAACUCAAUAAAGACAUCUUGAUGAAGCAUUCGACCAAACUAGAAGCCGGUGUGUCCUGGACUGUCCCUGGACAGCAUCAUCACUCACUAGAGGCGACGGCGUAUGCUGUGUUGGCACUUGUGAAGGCAAAAGACUUUGAUAGAGCAGGAGAGGCAGUGCACUGGCUGGGCAAACAACAGUCUCACUAUGGAGGAUCAGGCACCACACAGGCGACAAUCAUGGUGUUCCAGGCCGUGGCAGAGUAUCGCACACAGGUGAAUGACCGACAAAACUUUAAUCUGGAGGUGGAGCUGUCUGUGGCAGGAAGAAGCAAACCUGUCAAAUAUACUAUCAAAAAUGAUAAUAAGCAUCUUACCCGGUCAGACAAGAUGGACAUAAACAAAGACUUCAAUGUAACUGCUAGAGGAACUGGAACAGCCACUCUUUCAGUUCUGACGCUGUACUAUGCCAGACCUGCUGAGAAGUCUGACUGUGAAUUCUUUGAUCUGACUGUUAAAAUGGAGGAAGACCCUGAAACAAAACACAGAGGAGCCCUUAAAUCUUACAAGCUGACUAUGGAUUUUUACUACAAAAGUGAUAAAAGCGAUGCCACCAUGACUAUUCUGGAUAUUGGCAUACCGACGGGAUUUACUGUGGAUGACAGAGAUCUGGAAGAGUUGUCCACAGGAAAGGAGAGAUAUGUUCAGAAAUUUGAGAUGGACAAAGUGCUCUCAGAGCGAGGAUCCCUCAUCCUAUACUUGGAUAAGGUUUUGCGUAGAGAGUCACAAAGAAUUGUCUUCAGAAUGCACAAGAUGAUUGAUGUGGGUCUGCUACAACCUGCUGCAGUCACAAUAUAUGAAUAUUACUCACCAGAUAAACGCUGUACAAAGUUCUUCCACCCUGAGAGGGAAGAUGGCGCUCUAUACAGACUGUGUAAAGGAGACCUGUGCCAGUGUGCAGAAGAAAGCUGUAGUUACCAGAACAAAAACCAUAUCGAUGAUGAUGAGCGUUUCGCCAAAGCCUGUGAAUCUGGCAUGGAUUAUGUUUAUAAAGUCAAAGUGGUGGGGAUGGAUCUGAAAAAAGGCUCUGACAUCUACGACUUGAAGGUGGAGGAGGUGCUGAAAGAAGGCACUGAUGAGGAUGUUGAGGGGAAAGUGAGAAAAUUUCUGGCUCGUCCCAGCUGCAGAGAACAUUUAGGACUGGUAAAAGACAAGUCGUACCUUAUCAUGGGCAAAUCUGUUGACCUGCCAUUGUUCGGGGGGAGUCUUCAGUACAUCUUUGGAGAGCAUACCUGGGUUGAAUACUGGCCUACAAGACAGGAAAGCCAAACUCGAGAACACAGGGACCGAUACGUUGGCAUUUCUGAGCUCCAGAAUAGACUUCUCAAAGAAGGAUGUGCUACAUAAUCAUAUAACCGACAUUUGUUGAUUAUAGAAAUGUAAAUGUCAACUCCUGCAAACUUUCCAUUAAUCUUCAUAUUAUUGCUUUAUCCAAAGUACUUUAAACAAAAAAUACAGACUGAAUAAAAAUUGAAUAUGUUCA